GACGAACCGUGCGAACGUUAUUCGGAAUCACUGGGCUUAAAGCGCGUGUAGGCGGGUCGGCGCGUCCGAGGCUGAAUCCCCGGCUCAACCGGGAACGGGCCGGAUACGGCCGGCCUGGAGGGGAUAGGGGAGCCGGAACUCACGGUGGAGCGGUGAAAUGCGUUGAGAUCGUGAGGAACGCCCGUGGCGAAAGCGGGCUCCUGGGCCCCGCCUGACGCUGAGACGCGAAGCCAGGGAGCGAACGGG
rnacentral:rRNA from 1 species